CAAGCUACAUUGUUUUCUAGUGGAAUAUGCAUACACGGAUCCAAUAAACUCACACAUUUUAUAUGCUCUUGAAAAGAGGACACAAAUGUGAGUAUAUAUUGGAUAAAAUAAACACACAUACAAACGAAUCACAGGACCACAACACGGUGACCUUUGGCUCGAAGGAUAUCCUGUCUGCACAAGAAUGUGCAAGCAUUUGAGUUCUUGUGCCAACAAGAGAGUGAGGACGGUGGUUGAAUUUUAAAAUCCGAGUGUAACUCACAGUUAUUACAUGUGUCACUAUUUUUUCUUUGGAAUCACAUAUUAGAAGUUGGAAGCCAAUUGAAUGCAAGGGAGAUGGACAGUUCAAACGCAGAAGCAGAAUUAAGUGUUACUGCAAGCAGCAUUAGGAUCACUGAUGUGACAAAGGAUGGAGAUAUUCUGACUUUUGCCAUCACUUCCCAGAAAUUUUAUAGUAGUGGUGGUGUGUGUGUCUUUCGUACAUAUGAGGACUUUGACUGGCUUCAGCAGAAUUUUUUCUCUCAAGAAAAUGUUCCUGGACUUCAAGGAGUCAUAUUUCCCCCUUUACCACCUAAAGCACUACCAUCCCUGUUAAACACAGCAUCUAAAUCACUCAAACAACUUGGUUUCUUGGCUCUCGGGCAUGAUUGGCAGAGUUAUUGUAAAGCGUUGGAGUUUUAUCUCCAGCAGGUGGCGACCCACCCAAUACUCAGCAAAUGCAAGGCGCUGGACAGCUUCCUUACAAAAUCAGAGUCUCCGGGAAAACAGCGAGGCAGAAAAGGUAUAUUAAAUCGCCUCAGUCAGGCUGUGGAAGGGAUAAGAAAGGAAAGUCACAGGGACGUGGAUGACUUCUUUCAGAAAGAGAGACAUAAAAACACAAAUCGUGCAGCUUUGUCAAAGGUUGCAACAGAGAAAAUACUUGACGUUGUGUUGACUGAGCAAAAGCUCUCUUUGGCUUGUGGGCAUUUUUCCACUUGUCUUCAUCUCUGUGUAAAUCAGGAUGAUGAAGCUGCUGUUGCAUUCUCCAAGAUUUGCUUGAAGCUGUCAGAUAUAGUUGAAGCAGUAAUGAGAAAUUUUGAAAAAGUUGCCAAUAACAACAUCUCGACUCUUGGUUUGGGGCUGGAUUUGGAGGCUCGCUAUGAGGAAGCAGAGAAAGAAAUGCUUUUCAGAAGAACUUGUAAAUUGAUCGAGCUGGAAACAGUUAAGAAGAACACAGAAAAAGCCAAGGCCAAUAAAAGAGAUGCGAUCGCCCACCCCUAGCCUUCGCUCAUGACUACGAACAGAACGAAUUCAAUGAAUUCUUCUUCUUCUACAUUGCCGGAUCUACGAAGUGUUGCAGCGGAUCGUCCCUACCUGCGGCGACCUUCCCCUGGGCGUCUCAGCGGUUCCGGAGGUGUUAGAGAUUUUUUUUCUAAAAAGUCCUUUUCAGGACUGACUGAGCAAUCUCCAGCGCGGCAUGUCCCGCAUUUCUCUUGGGUGCGGCACCCUCAUCGAGGAGGGGGAUGGACACGAUCGCUUCGUUAGGCGUCUGGGCAUCCAGCACGCUGAAGCAGCAUUCGUUGACACAUCUGCCCGCACUGCGGGCAGAUUGUCAUUCAGAAGUUGCGGUCACGGUGUUCGCCUUCCUACGGGAACCAGCCACCAUUUCGUCUGCUACCUGGGCUGUGACAUCUGUGGCUACGGCCCUGAUGACCACCUACGUAGCAGCGUUAGUGAUAUGGGGAACUCUGCGAACGUAAACCCGCCAGCCAAGUGCUCACGGGCCGAUCGCACCCUGAUUCGCUCUACUAAACGUUCCCCAACCGGCAGUGGCAUACCGUCCGGAUCCUCACGCACACACUCGGAAACGAUGUGUGACGUAGAUGAGAUGUCGCUCGCAGCAUCGGAGGGAGACUGUCAUCCGACUCUGACGAAUCCAAGCUCCACCCCCAGCCGUCGAGUUCAGGAUGAAGCAGAAGUGAUGUCAUCCAUGCUAACCCGGGGAUGCGUGGUUCCUGAGGUCAGGUGCCAUGUUUACCCGGAGGUGCAUGAGGAGCUGUGUAAAACUUGGAGCGCUCCACUCACGGACCGUUCCAGUGAAACCAGCUCCGGCUCCCUUACUUCCCUCGAUGGUGGGGCAGCCAAGGAGUACGUCGAUAUCCUGUGCCGCGGACGGCUACCACCUGGGGUAGAAUCGGCCACACCUACCGUCCAAAGCACGUAAGACUUCGGCAUCACUGGUGUUGAAGACUUGCGAUGCAGCGGGCCAGGCUGCCUCCUCUCUCUACGCCAUGGCCAUCCCGUAGGUCCGCCAGGCCAGGGCGUGGAGAGAGCCCCACGAGGGUAAGGCUGACCCGGGUAUAAUGAAGGAUCUCCGUGCCGCCACUGACAGCGCUCUAUGGGCGACUAAGGUGGCGGCGCGGGCCCUGGGUCGGACGAUGUCCACGAUAGUGGUCCAGGAGAGACACCCCCGGCUAUGCCUUGUGCAGAAGAGUGACACCAAGGAAGUCCGCUUUCUUGAUGCACUCAUCUCGCAGGGUGGGUUGUUGGUAACACCAUCGAGGACUGCGCUCAGCAGUUUUUGAUGGUGUAGCAGACCGUGGCAAUUAGCCAAAUUUUUUCACGCCGCGCGGCCUCCGAGAUCUCAAGUGACGUCUGCCUCCCUGCAACCCAGGACCCCUUCGACAUCGGCUCCGGUUCCUGUGCCCCCACAGGCGGCACCCCGGAAGCAGAGGUCGAGGGGGAAACCUCAACCCCGUCAACAACCUUCUUCCGAGAAGGGGCACUGACGGGAAGACCAAAGGGAGAAAAACAUCGGGCCCGAACCUUCACAGCCACGGCUCUGAUCGGUCGGUACGGGACGAUUCCUGCCUCGUCACCAAAGCCGGGCCCUUUUCAGGGCUUGGCGCCCACUUACUUGCAGAGUUUUCUGUUCUCCCUGGGUGUACUUGCAGCCUAUCGCACACUCCACUGGACUGUGCUCGGCGAACCGACCUCACACCCUGGCGAGGCUUGAGGUCGUACACAUACGACGGCUGUCACCACUCUCAAACCGACAGUGCGUGCCAUUGUCCCGCCAGGCAGGUAAAAAGGCGGAGCCAACCUUCCCUCCGGGGACCCCCGCGACAUGGGUAGCUCCGCCAGCCGACGAACCCCCCCAUGGGAAUGAUGAAGCAGACCGUCCCCUUGGUCACCCUGUCACAGUCCCUGGGAGCUUGAGAACUGCCCACACUGUCUCGCUGGCUAAUGAGGGCGGUCCGUCUUGGUUACUCGAUCCAGUUCGCCAGAGACUCUCCCAAGUUUUGGGGCAUCAUCUCUCCCUCUGUCAGAGGCAGGGACGCCUCCGUACUUCGGGUAGAGGUCACCACCCUUCUGGCAAAACAGGCAUCGAGUUCGUCCCUCAAAACCAAGAUGUUCAGUGGGUCACGAUCCGCACUUCACCGUUCCGAAGAAACAGGGCGGGUUGCCCCCAAAGGUCUGCGUACCCUGAACAGAGCAUCUUCACAAGCUGCCGUUCAGGGUGCUCACACACAGGGCGUCCUGACAUCUAUCGGGUGUCAGGAUUUGUUCGUGGCAAUCGACCUGAAGGACGCUUACUUUCAUGUCUCGAUCCUCCUCGACACCGGCCGUUCUAACGGUUCGCAUGCGAGAGGCGGGCAUAUCAGUACAGAAUCCUCCCUUUCGGUCUGUCCUUGUCUCCACGGUCUUCACGAGAUCGUGGAAACCGCCCUUUCUCCCAGGGAGGAAGGCGAGCGGGUACUAAACUACUAGCCUAUCUUGGCACACUCGUGAGAUAUGUUAUGUACACAAAGGGACCUGGUGCCCCGGCACCUAGAUCGAUUGGGACUCCAGGUCAACCAAGAGAGGGGCAAGCUCUCCCCAGUGCAGAGCAUCCUCUUUCUAGGUAUGGAACUCAACUCUGUCACCACGUCGGCGCACCUGUCUGCAGUAUGCGCCCAACCAGUGUUGAACUGUCUGAAAUGAACAUUUUAGGCAGGCAGCGGUCCCCCUGAAAUAAUUCAGAGGCUCCUGGGACACAUGGCGUCCUCGCGGGUUAAUACCCCUUGAGUUGAUGCACAUGAGACCGCUCCAACACUGGUUUCAGAGUCGAGUUCCGAGGAGAGCGUGGCACACCGGCAGCAGGCGCAUGGUGAUGACGCCCUGCUUCCGACGCACCAUAACCCCUAGUCUUCCAUGACUUUUUCGACGGACUCAGGUCCCUCUGGGCAGGUUAUGAGACAGGUCGUGGUGACGACUGAAGUCUCCCUGCAGGGGUGCUGUGCAGUGUGUAACGGGCAUGCGGGCGGGGCGUUGGACGAACCCCCGCCUGUGCUGGCAUAUCAAUUGCCAAGAGUUGUGGGCUGUGCUAUUUGCACUGAGCAGGCUACGGCCUCUCGUGCGAGUCAAGCACGUGCUGGUCCGAGGACAGCACUACAGCUGUAGCGUACACAGAUCGUCAGGGUGGCGUUCGCUCACAGCAGCUAACACAACUUGCUCAACGCCUCCUCCGGUGGAGUCAACAGGUGACCCGUUCCCUGCGGGCCACACACACCCCGGGCAAACUGAACUAGACAGCCGACGUGCUUUCUUGCCAGUUUAUGCCUCGUGGAGAGUGACGACUCCACCCCCGCGCAGUCCAGCUCAUUUGGAGGCUGUUCGGGUAGGCCCAGGUAAACCUGUUCGCCUCCCGUAACACCACCAUUUGCCCGCCUGGUAUUCCCUGCCCUCGGCACGGAUAUCCUGGCGCACAGCUGACCGCGGGAUGGGCGGAAGCACACCUUCCCCCCCAGGAGCCUCCUUUGCACAGACGCUGUGCAAGGUCAGGGAGCAGGAGCACCAAGUGUUAUUGGUUACACCACUCCGGGCUAACCGCACUUGGCCUCAGAGCUGAUGCUCUGGACAGCGACUCCCCCUGAACCAUUCCCCUGACAGAGGACCUGCUCUAUCAGGGGAGGGACACGUUCUGGCAUCCCAGAUCAUACCUCUGGAACUCCCAUGUCUGGUCUCUAGACGGGACCAGAAGAUCCUGAGAUGGCUACUCCCACUCUAUGGCAGAGACCAUCACCCAGGCUAGGGCCCCAUCUACUAGGCGGUUACACGCCUCUAGACGGCGCCUUUUCUCGUCCUGGUGUCUCUCUCAAUGAGAAAGACCCACUGAGGUGCUUGAUCAGGAUUGUGUUUUCCUUCUUAAGACUACUCCAAGAACGAGACCAUACCUAUAUCCACCAUAUUCCUCCCCACGGGUAGGAGGUGGCUUCUGCAGCGCUUCUCUGAUUAAGAGUUGCGCUCACACGGUGUAACGCGGUCACACGGAGCCCGGCAUGCAAAUUUCAUUCGCCAAAUUUCAUUGGCCUUUUCUAUAGUAGUCAGAGUUGAUUGGUUCUCAAGGGCGAACCCCAUCUGUCGUUCUCGACACAACGUCUCGUUCCCUCCAUCAGGGAACUGAGGUUACAUACGUAACCAAGACGUUUUACAGUGCAUUUUAUAAUAUCCUAGUGAAUUUAUUUUAUAGCAGCAGUUUGGGCAGGACACUUUUCCAACAUGACAAGUCAAAGUUCGACUUGUUUCCAUUUCUGUGUUUAUAUAAAGAGAAUGGAAAUUUCGGGGUUAAUCAAUAACUGCAGAACGUAUACAGUGUGUGUUUUCAGCUGUAUCUACAGAGCACAGAUAAUGCCACACCCAAAGAGUCUAAUGCAACUUAUUAGAGUUGGCAAAAUGAACAGACAGAUGGAUAGUUGUGAAAGUGAAGGGAAAGUGGAGAAAGAGUCAGUCAUAAAAUCUCUACAAUAAACUGUUGUGGUAUACUUCCACCCUGCUAACCAUGACCUUUCUCUUCUUGCAUUUCUUGGCACAAAAAUGUUACAUGUGUGGUUGAACAAAGUACAGAGGGUGACGCAACAAAGUACAAAUGGAAAUGAUCAUGUUUUCUGUGUAGAUGGAGGAGGUUCAGAAAGCUACAGAGAAAGAAUUCUCCCUCAUCUCAUCUGUGGCUAAACAGGAGAUUGAGCGCUUCCAUAGCUCCAGAGUGACUGUGC